AGUGACAAGUGAUAAAAAACAAGGCAAUACAAAGUCACCCACACAAAAGUUCUACAAUAAAGUCUGUGUAACUAUGCGACAUAGUCAAAGACUCCCUCAACACUGCUGCGAGGAUAAUCUAAUGUUAAUGUUGACAUAGGAAAUGUAUAAGGACAAGCAGGAUGCAGCCUCUAGGAGUACUUUUGCCAACUGUUUGUAUUGCGAUAGAUCAACAAGAAGCCUAAGAAGAAAGGAGAGAGAACGCAGAGAAGUAAACGUGAAAAAGAUUACAAAUGCUGCAAGGCAGAGUCGAGUAGAAGAAAAAGGCAAAAGAAAGCAAAUCGAUGCUGCAAAAAAGGAUAGAAGAAGGAAAGGGAGUUGAGUGCUAAGCAACUUGACUGCAAAAAUGCCAGCAAGUAAAUUUUAAACAUCGCACGUGGCCAUAAAAACCAUGAGCCAAGCCAAAGAGUCUAACGAAUGUGCCAGGAGCAGUAGCCAGGACCAGAACCAGGACGAGAACGGAGGAAGGAAGCAGCGUGUGUGUGUGUGGGGGGAACUGCAUUUUAGCGCCAUAUUUUAUACACACUUAAAGUCACACACAGAGAAAACGGCGGAAAAUAAACGGGAUGCAAGCACGAAGUUGGGGUGAAGAAGGAGGAGGAGACGAGGCCUGGAAAAUGGUGAAAACGCUGCAGUCGCCGCAGUGUCAAAGCAAGAAAGGCAAGCGGCAAUGCGGGUAAAGAUAAACGCGACGCAGAGACAACCAGAAAGAGAGAGAUAUGGUAUGUGAGAGCGAGAAGGGAGAUCGAAAAACAAAAGGUCAAAAAGUUUGCAGAAAAGCGUGUGAAAAAGUGAGUGAAAAUGGGUUAAGCAAAUGCCAAGAGCACAACAAAAGAGGCCGCACAAAUAAAAUGCAGGCCAGCUUCAGCUCCAACUUCAACUUUAGCGCCAAUGCCACGCCCACACAUCAGACAAAUACGCGGACUGCGUACAACGCAACAAGACGCAACAAGCAAAACGACGUCCAGCAGACAGCGAACAAGACGUUUAACAAGGCCACACAAAUAAGUUGCCCGAGGGGGGCAACAGCUGUAGAUGAGAGGGGGAGGGGGAGGGGAGAGGGCAACACCGUGGUUUGCCUAAUUAAAAUUUAAUUAAUUAACAAUGCGAUGGGCGCAAAUGGCCAAUGGAAAAGUGUCGAAAUUCGGCAAAUAGCCGCCAUCUGUUUUGUCGACAAAAGAUUUUCCAUUUUCGAAACAUCAAGAUGGAUUUUCGUUUCAUUGAUGGCAAGUGGCAAGUAGCAAGUGGCAAGUGGCAAGAUGGGCACGUGCCGCAGCAUGCCACACAACACAUGGCUCAAAAAUUCUAUUGAUUUCAUUUUCUUCGUCGCUUUGUCGUAAUUGUUGCUUCAAUAUGCCACAUCAUUUUCGGCUCAUUAAUCACUCGACCAUUUUCAUUAGCCACGACCAAAGUUUCUUGGCUCUCUCUAAUUACAUUUCGAUGCUGGCCCCAAAAAUAAAAUAAAAAGAUGAAAGCCAAAUGAAAAUAUUUUAUAGAUUUUCGGCCCACAACAAACAACACGGCCAUAAAUACCAUCGCAUUGACCACAUUUUCUGUGUUCUGAGUUCUACACUCUCUCUUUUAUAAUGUGAAAUUAGGAAAUUAACAAAAUACUCAUUUCAAUUCAUUUGAUUCACUGAAUCGCAAGUAAUUGAAAAUCAAUUGCCAAAGUGAAUCGACAAGGCAUCAACACCUAUUUUGAGUUGAUGAAUUCCAUUUUUAGAAAUCAACUCUGUCCUUCAGAAUAGUCAACUAAACUGUGAUUGCAAACAAACUUAUUGCCAAUUUAUAUUUACUAUCUAGAAAUACUUUUUCUAUAGUUGCAAUUGAAUAGCUUGGUUUGAUAUUGGUGCAAAUUUGAUGAGCAAGUUUUAUUCGCAUCAACUGAGUUAAAGCUAGCAUUAAAAGACGCAUGAAAACUGAAAUGUUGUGAGUGAAAUUCGAUUCAGCUGUAACAAACUUAUUUUGUGCUUCAAUCUAUGGCAAUCCAAUAUUGCAUUUAAACUAAUUUUUACUCCUUUCAUAAUA